CAGUAGUCACGUAGUUUGACUCCGUGGCUCAGAACGAACGCUGGCGGCAUGCCUAACACAUGCAAGUCGAACGAGACCUUCGGGUCUAGUGGCGCACGGGUGCGUAACGCGUGGGAACCUGCCCCUUGGUUCGGAAUAACAGCGAGAAAUUGCUGCUAAUACCGGAUAAUGACGUAAGUCCAAAGAUUUAUCGCCAAGGGAUGAGCCCGCGUAGGAUUAGCUAGUUGGUGUGGUAAAGGCGCACCAAGGCGACGAUCCUUAGCUGGUCUGAGAGGAUGAUCAGCCACACUGGGACUGAGACACGGCCCAGACUCCUACGGGAGGCAGCAGUGGGGGAAUAUUGGACAAUGGGCGAAAGCCUGAUCCAGCAAUGCCGCGUGAGUGAUGAAGGCCUUAGGGUUGUAAAGCCCUUUACCCGGGAUGAUAAUGACAGUACCGGGAGAAUAAGCUCCGGCUAACUCCGUG
rnacentral:rRNA from 1 species